rnacentral:rRNA from 1 species
UACGUAGGGUGCAAGCGUUAAUCGGAAUUACUGGGCGUAAAGCGUGCGUAGGUGGUUUGUUAAGUCUGAUGUGAAAUCCCCGGGCUCAACCUGGGAAUGGCAUUGGAUACUGGCAGGCUAGAGUGCGGUAGAGGGUGGUGGAAUUCCCGGUGUAGCAGUGAAAUGCGUAGAGAUCGGGAGGAACAUCUGUGGCGAAGGCGGCCACCUGGACCAGCACUGACACUGAGGCACGAAAGCGUGGGGAGCAAACAGG